CAUUUCAAGUUCGAGAUAGCCGGUAGAUAGCCGAUUGCAUCAAGGACUUCAGUUAGCCUUGCAUUGUCAAAAUUAUAAGUUCACAGACUCGCAUCUUAUUGGUUAGUUGGGAGCCCACGUGUCAUUGUAAAAGUAAUUUUAUACUUUAGUUAUUUGAUUUAAAGUAUGUAUGAACAUAUUUAGCUUUUACACCAUGUUUUUGGCAGGUUUUGGUGUUUUCGAAGAAAAAUGAUGAAAAUGCCCCUGUGAGCCAGAAAAUAAUAUUUUAUUAUUUUGAUUUAGAAAAAACUUAUGAUUUCUUAAAAUGCGAGAUUUAAUAACUGUCGCUCACCGGAGAAAUGAGGAAGCUGAUGCUAAGCCUUGCGGGGUUUUGAUCGACAUUCAGGGUAAUGAGUGCCAAUCGGGACGUCACGGCGGUUGUCACGGGCCCGAUGAGGAGUUUCGGGUCGUGACACUUUUACACUAAGUUUUCUUAUUUUUUUACUUUCUUGCUAUUAUUCUUAUUUUUAUUUUGAUUUAUU
rnacentral:lncRNA from 1 species